UCCUCAUUUUGCCUUUCCUCUUUCUGCCCUCAAUCAAGAAAUCAAGAAGAGUCUCUUCCUUUCGUCACAAUCUCUCUCUCUCUCUCUCUCUCUUUUGUUCUCCCUCUCUCUCGCUCGCUUCUGUUGGCAUCGGAACGAGGGAGAAAGAUAGGGGAAUCACCAUAUAGCCUUCUAGGGUUUUCGGGAACUAGCGGGAUUUCCAUUUCUUUGAUUUUGUUUGUUUUAUAUGUUUUUUCCUUUUUCCGGGCAUCACGUACGUUUGAUCCGUUCGGGCCCGGUUAGGGAUUCCCGGCCAACUGGUUCUUGUCUUGGGGAGGCGCGUCGAUUAAUCUGGCGGGUUUUCUGCACCAUUCCGGCGACCUCGUGGAUGACCGAGGGCCUUCUUGGGAAGGUUUCGCUUGUGGAUGGCUGAUAGUAGAAGAUGUGCUGUGAAUUCUCAGCUGGACAUUGGGCAGAUAUUAUUGGAGGCUCAAAACCGUUGGCUUCGUCCAACUGAAGUAUGUGAGAUACUACGCAACUACCAGAAGUUCUGUCUAACCCCAGACCCUCCCUACAAGCCUCCAGGUGGUUCACUUUUCCUUUUCGACCGAAAAGCACUUCGAUAUUUUCGUAAAGAUGGUCAUCGUUGGAGGAAGAAGAAGGAUGGGAAGACAGUGAGAGAAGCCCAUGAAAAGUUAAAGGCUGGGAGUGUUGAUGUGCUGCAUUGUUACUAUGCACAUGGUGAAGACAAUGAGAACUUUCAGAGGAGAAGUUACUGGAUGCUUGAGGGGGAAUUAGAGCAUAUUGUUCUUGUGCACUACAGAGAGGUUAAAGAGGGGAACAGGUCUGGUGUUUCUCGGUCAAUAAGUACUGAAGCAGGAGCUCAAAGUUCACUGCCUGGCAAUACAAAUUCUUCACCUGCUUCUUCUAUUCAAGCAAAUUCUGCUGCUGUGACAGCUCAAGCAUCCUUUGCAUCAAGUCCAAGCACAGCUGAUUGGAAUGGACAUGCUCAUUCUCCAGAAUACGAUGAAGCUGAAUCUGGGGAUGAUAUUGGUGCCUCUAGUAUUUCUGAAAACAUAUCUUGUUCUGGGUUUCAGAAUUCUUCUUUACAAUUGAAUGAUAGGGUUGGUAAAGAUAUUUCAGGGUGUAGAGGUUCUAUUCCCUCAUCUUUCUCUAGGGGUUUGACAAACAUAGCAGGGAUGAACAAUGGACUUCCUGAUCUUUUUAGUGUCAAUCAACUUUUUACUGGGACAUGUAUGACCAAUGAGCCUAAUGAUGCAAGCCUCAUAGCUUCUGGGCAAGCUGGUCUACCAGAGUUCUCAGCAACACAAAUUGCUGGACAGCCAUUUUGUGGAACAAAUUUGAGCCAUGGCACUGGCUCCUUUGCAUGGCCUGAGGUACAGGGUACGAGUCAAAGCUAUGGUAAUAUAGAUGGUGACAGAUUUUUUUUCAAUACUACGAAUUCCAUGGGGGAUAUGACUAGAUCUGGUUUUAAUGUUCAUCCCGGCUUACUGAAAAGUAACCAAGUUGGAGUCCAAGCACUUCCUGAACAUCCACAAGAGAUGAUGAAAGAUUCUCAUAGGUUGUUUCAGGGGCAAGCGAGUCAAGGGGAUGUGGUGGCACCUGGUAGCAUUGCUAUGGAUAGGCAAAAUCUAUCAGACAUCAGUCAUAUGAACCAGGAGCCUUUCAGUUGCCAUGAUCAUGUUCCUUCUGAAUGUCAAGUUAAUAAAUCACAUGUCAAUCCCUCUUCUUACCUGCAGACCAUUGGGAUAAAAUCUGAACCUGCUGAUUCUUCAAAAGGUCCUUUGGUUGACAAUCUGUAUAGUGAUGAAAACUUGGGCUUAAAGAAACUAGAUAGCUUUGGGAGAUGGAUGAGCAGGGAAAUUGGUGUGGACUGUGAUGAACCACUGACAGCUUCUGAUUCUGGUAACUACUGGAGUACUCUUAAUCCCCAGGUCAGUGACAAGGAUGUUUCUAGCUUGUCAGGUCAUAUGCAAUUGGAUGUUGAUCCACUGGGCCCUUCUCUUUCCCAAGAACAGUUGUUCAGUAUUAUUGAUUUUUCACCAGACUGGGCUUAUUCAGGUGUUGAGACAAAGGUUCUGAUCUCAGGGGUGUUUUUAGCAGACACAGAAUAUCGCAGGGCCGUUAAAUGGUGCUGUAUGUUUGGUGAGCUUGAAGUUUCCGCUGAGAUCUUAACAAACAAUGUUCUUCGUUGUCAAGCCCCUGUUCAUUCCCCGGGUAGAGUUCCAUUUUAUAUUACCUGCAGUAACAGGUUAGCGUGCAGUGAGGUUCGGGAGUUUGAUUAUCGGGAAAGACCUUCUGCUCUGUCGCUUCCUGUUGGAUUGAAAGGAAAUACUGAAGAUGAAACUGUUCUUCAGGUUCGCCUUGCAAAGAUGUUGGUCUUGGGCUCUGAAAAGAGGUGGCUUAGUUGCUCUCUUCAAAAUUGUGAAAAAUGUCACCUGAAAAAAGAUAUUCUUUCACUUAGAGGUGAUGAUACAAAUGAGUGGGAUGAGAUUGAGAAGUCUGUAAAGCACAUUGAUGGAAACUAUAGAAGUGCUAGGGAGCUUUUGAUGCAGAAAAUGCUCAAGGACAAGUUAUAUCAAUGGCUUGUCUGUAAAUCCCAUGAAGAAGGAAAGGGACCAAAUUUCCUGGAUGAUGAAGGGCAAGGUGUAAUCCAUUUGGCUGCUGCACUUGGCUAUGAGUGGGCAAUGGGGCCAAUUGUUGCUGCUGGUGUCAGCCCAAGUUUUAGGGAUGCACGUGGUAGGACGGGGCUUCAUUGGGCUGCAUAUUUUGGCAGAGAGGAAACAGUUGUUACACUAAUACGGCUUGGUGCUGCUCCAGGCGCAUUAGAAGAUCCGACAGCAAAAUUUCCUCAAGGGCAAACUGCUGCCGAUUUGGCUUCUAGUAGAGGACAUAAAGGCAUAGCUGGUUAUUUGGCAGAAGCAGAUCUAACUAGUCACCUUUCAUCAAUCUCAUUGAGGGAAAAUUUAAUGGAUAACGUCUCUGCCACACUUGCAGUACAGAAGGCUUUUGAAACUGUUGAGAAGCAGAGGCUUCUCCAUCCUCUUGAUGGAGACAUGAAAGAUGAAUUAUCUCUGAAGGAAUCACUUGCUGCUGUUAGAAAGUCUGCUCAAGCAGCUGCUCGGAUUCAAGCUGCCUUUAGAGUUCAUUCUUUUCGACAGAGGCAUUUGGCAGAGAGUAGUAGUGGAUCCCUUGAUAAUCCACGUGACAUACAUAAUCUGGUUAACGCAAAAAUGUCACUUAGAAAGGGCCAGUCAUCUAGCACUUUUGAUGUUGCAGCAGUCAAGAUCCAGCAAAAGUAUCGUGGAUGGAAGGCCCGCAAAGAUUUUGUGAAGAUUCGUGAGCGCAUUGUGAAAAUUCAGGCACAUUUUAGAGGGCAUCAAGUUCGCAAACAGUACAAGAAGGUGGUUUGGUCUGUGGGAAUUGUGGAGAAAGCUAUUUUACGUUGGAGACGGAAGGGGGUUGGAUUGCGUGGAUUUCGAGCAGAUAGAUCCAUCCAAAAUGCAGAAUCUGCUGGUGGAAAAAGUGACGAAUAUGAGUUCCUACGCGAUGGUCGGAAGCAGAAAGUUGCUGGUGUAGAAAAGGCACUUGCCAGAGUGCAAUCUAUGGUUCGUUACCCAGAAGCCCGUGAUCAAUACAUGAGACUUGUGACGAAUUUCCAGAAAGCAAAGGUGACCUGAUACAUUGGAUAUGACAAGUGAUACAAGCAGUUUCUUGUCUCAAAUUUGUUCAUAUUAUAUCGAGUUUGUCCCAGUUCGCUUCAACAAGCUGUAAGAUUAACCAUGUGGUGGCUUGGUAAGCUACUUGAACAGUUAAUGGAUGAUAAGGCUUCUGCAGCCGUAGUUUUGAGCUCAAAGGAAAAUAAGGAUGUACAGGCUACACAUGCGCCAAUGACAGAAUAAGCUCUAGCUAGUAGUAGCAAUAUGGUGAUGACUUUCCGCGGCUGCACGACAUUUGGGUUGUGUUUUGUAAGUAUGUCUGAUCGGUCAAAUUUAGGCACAAGCUUCUUGUGUAUGGAAAGAAGAUGGUUGUCUUUAGGUCAAUAGUCAGCUUCUCUUGUUGUAAAUUGGGCUUCGCUAAUUGAUUUACUGUUUUGGUGCCUUCAGUCUGAGUGGAUAAUGUUGUGUUACAUAGCGGCAGGUGUCUGUAAUCAACUUUACUUCACCUUGACAUUGUUUCACAUUCUUAACAAGCGGAAGUAUGAAAUAUAAUGAAUAUGCAAACGUAGACUCUUUCUCC